GCCCCCCUCAUUCCAUUUAUGUUUUAUUCCUGUCAUCUUCGUGACCUAGUUAGUUUCUUAAUUGGUGUUCUUUGCGAUAAUAAUCUGAAGUAAACAAGUUCUUUAUGAACACUCACUAUUCUCGUCUCCAUUGGAUUAGCAGAUGCAGAUUUACCAGGUUUCCUUUUCUUUGCCGCGUUGUUUAAGAUUUCCAUUGUAUUUCUUGUUUUGCAAUUCAUUUGGUGCUCCAAGAUUGUGGCUUUGACUACAUGUGUAAGAAGAGAGCUCUCUUCAGUCCACUCUCAGAUGGCUGUAGGGUUUUAUUAGCUGCCGAAUCAUCCAUUCACCUACCAAGAAAGUUGCAGGAGUGUAUCUCUUGGUAGCGGACUGGAUGACGCGGGAGCUAAAAUUUAGCUCUGCGCCGUUUGUGGUUGGACUGAAGGGUGCUCCCUUGCUCAAGCACUCGUGCAUAAAAUCAUCCGCUAAUGUUAAUAAUAAUCUUCAGAUUUCUAUAUGAGUUUUAUGUCCAGUGUGUUCAGUUUCA
rnacentral:precursor_RNA from 1 species